UUGCUUCCACAGCAAAUAUAUUAAAACUGGAACGAUACAGAGAAGAUUGGCAUGACUUCUGUAGAAGGAUGACAUGGAAGUUAGCUAAAAGUUCCAUAUUUUU
ensembl:snRNA U6 U6 spliceosomal RNA